rnacentral:tRNA from 1 species
UCCCCAGCAGUCCAGUGGUUAGGACUUUGCACUCUCACUACUGAGGGUCCAGGUUCAAUCCCUGGUUGGGGAA